UACAGAGGGUGCGAGCGUUAAUCGGAGUUACUGGGCGUAAAGGGCGCGUAGGCGGUUAAAUAAAUUGGAUGUGAAAUCCCCGGGCUUAACCUGGGAAUGGCAUCCAAGACUGUUUGACUGGAGUAUUGUAGAGGGUAGUGGAAUUUCCGGUGUAGCGGUGAAAUGCGUAGAGAUCGGAAGGAACAUCAGUGGCGAAGGCGGCUACCUGGACAAAUACUGACGCUGAGGCGCGAAAGCGUGGGGAGCAAACAGG
rnacentral:rRNA from 1 species